rnacentral:misc_RNA from 1 species
UAUGUAACUGGUUUCAUGUCAAUAAAUUAAUUUCAGUACAUCAGACUUUAGCGUGGAAUGAAACGAUUCGAUAGGGGCAUAAUCAGCAG